rnacentral:lncRNA from 1 species
GCACAGUGGUUCCACUGUGGCUCACACGCACACUUCUGUUCAUGCAGCUGAUCCCCACGGAGCCCCACUCACCAGGGAGGAGCUUCAGGUUUCAAGGUCUACGUAAAUAGGAGCAGCUCUCAGCAGAGUCAUAAGCAUAAGUCUAACCACCAUGUCUAACAUACCAGGUGGGCUUUGAACCCUAUGGCUGUUCUUGGUCUUUGAAAUGCUAGGUCCUUCCUCUUCUCUCCAGUUUCUCACUCCCAAUCCUGACUGGAGGUGCUGUUAGGUUCCCUGGAGCAUUUUUUUCUCUUUGCUCCAAGGCCUAGAUGGCAUCCUACUAGUAUCAAAUCUCUAACUUCUAGCUCCUGGUUCAAGGUCCAGCCUGUCCUGCACACUUUCCAGCUGCUUUCUCAGCAGCUGCCACCGAGGUUGCUCUUUGUGGUUUGUGGUCCAUGAUGCCUCACCGCUUGUUCUGGCUGCCUUCUCUCCUAAAUGAAGACUGUUUCCUGUUUCUUUUUACUUUCACUUGCCUUAUUACCCGUGGACUCCCUGUGGCGCAUCUUAGGCUUGGCUCUGCUAUAGUUACCUGUCCAAUGACACAGUCCUGAGCUGAUGCUGGAGUGUCCUGGGGAUCAGUGACUGCUUCUGUGUUGAAAGCUCUGAGAGUGCAGACUGUCCAUGCUGGAAUAACAGAACUGGAAGAAGGCCCAAAGAUGGUACUGAGCACAUACUAUAGAGGAUGUAGAUCUGACUUCUUCUGCACCUACUGGGUUUCGCUGACUUCUUGUUCCUGGAGAUGUUCUGCAAGUAGACACCAAGAACAGAACUAGCAGCACCAGCGGGAUCGAAGACCUGGUGCUUCCUCUUCAGUUUUAUUACCUUUCUGAUUCCAGCCAAGAAUGUGUUGUGAUUCCAAACCCCAGCCCACAACGAUGUGUUAGGUCUAUUCUGGUUUCUGCAUUGAUUCACAAUGAAUAAAAAUUAAGUUGG